UGGGGAAUUUUGGACAAUGGGCGCAAGCCUGAUCCAGCAAUGCCGCGUGCAGGAUGAAGGCCUUCGGGUUGUAAACUGCUUUUGUACGGAACGAGACGGCUCUGGUCAAUACCUGGGGCUAAUGACGGUACCGUAAGAAUAAGCACCGGCUAACUACGUGCCAGCAGCCGCGGUAAUACGUAGGGUGCGAGCGUUAAUCGGAAUUACUGGGCGUAAAGCGUGCACAGGCGGUUAUGUAAGACAGAUGUGAAAUCCCCGGGCUCAACCUGGGACCUGCAUUUGUGACUGCAUAGCUAGAGUACGGCAGAGGGGGAUGGAAUUCCGCGUGUAGCAGUGAAAUGCGUAGAUAUGCGGAGGAACACCGAUGGCGAAGGCAAUCCCCUGGGCCUGUACUGACGCUCAUGCACGAAAGCGUGGGGAGCAAACA
rnacentral:rRNA from 1 species